rnacentral:rRNA from 1 species
UACCUGCAGCUCGAGUGGUAACCGCUAUUAUUGGGCCUAAAGCGUCCGUAGCCGGUUUGGUAAAUAUCUGGGUAAAUCGUGAGGCUUAACUUCACGAAUUUCGGAUAGACUGCCAGACUUGGGAUCGGGGGAGGUCAGAGGUACUCCAGGGGUAGCGGUGAAAUGUUGUAAUCCUUGGAGGACCACCGGUAGCGAAGGCGUCUGACUAGAACGAGUCCGACGGUGAGGGACGAAGCCCUGGGGCGCAAACCGGAUUAGAUACCCGGGUAGUCCAGGGUGUAAACAAUGUGGCUUUGUAUUGGAGGUUCCACGUGGGCGUCCAGUGCAGAAGAGAAGUUGUUAAGCCCACCGCCUGGGAAGUACGGUCGCAAGGCUGAAACUUAAAGGAAUUGGCGGGGGAGCACAGCAGCGGGAGGAGCGUGCGGUUU